ACGUGUGUGUGCAUGCACGCGUGUACGUGUAGGUGCGUACACACACACACACACACACACACACACACACACACACACACAC
rnacentral:miRNA from 1 species